rnacentral:lncRNA from 1 species
AGUGGCCAUGUCAUAAGCAGCCCUAAGGAGAGGCCCAGGUGGCAAGAAACUGAGGCUUCCAGUCCUCUGUACAUGAAUGAGCAUGGAUGGAGAUUCUCCAGCCUAGUCAGCCUUCGGGUGACUGAAGUCCUGGCAGACCUCCUAGCUGUAGUCUCUUGAGAGCUCUUGAGCCAGAGGCACCCAACUAAGCCACUCCUGGAUUUCUGAUACACAGAAACGUCCGGACCUGGAAGUGACAAAGAAUAGUUUCCAAAACUUGAAAGAAGAGGAGAUAAGAUUGGCUUUGAGAAGUUAAACUUCAAAAUCAGCACAUAUGGAUUAGAACAGAGAGAUACAAAAUCAUCUUAAAGCAGUGUUUAAGUGUCCUUCUGACUUGCUCUAAACUGAACCAAAAAUACAACUGCUUUCUUCUUAUCAAUCAGUGGUGGGAAAUACCAUGAAUGCUCUUUUUUUAAUGUGUGAAAAUCUCUCAGAAGAGUUCCUAGAACAACAAUAAGUGUUUUGCUUAUAACCAAGAGAAACUUAGUAAACCAAUAAGUGGAUUAUUAAAAAGAUAUCAAGAUUUGAUAUUCAUAAAUAAAGGAGUAUAUUACCAGAGUUUAUUAAGAACUCCCACUUGGUGUCCUAAUAAGAACUCUGGCUGCUACGUACAGUGCUGGGCAGCAUUCAUAUUCCUUGGCUGGUGGCCCCUCCUCCAUCUUCAAAGCCAGUGAAAGCAGGCUGAGUCCUUUCCCUGUUGCCAUCUCUCUAGCUUUCUGCAGCCAGGAAUGAUUCUUUGCUUUUAAGGACUCAUGCGAAUGGAUUAGACCCACUUGAAUAAUCCAGUGUAAUCUUCCCAUCUCAAGGUCCUUACCUUAAUCACAUCUGCAAAGUCCCUUUUGCCGUGUAGGUUAACAUAUUCACAGGUUCUGGGGGUUAGAAUGGCCUUUGAGGGCCAUUAUUCUACAUAUCACUGUGUGUGUGUGUGUGUGUGUGUGUGUGUAUAUAUAUAUAUAUAUAUAUAUAAGUAUAUUAUAUAACAAAUUCUGUAUAUAAAGAUAUUAACUCUACCUGUAUCAUAUAUUACAUAUUAUAAAAUAUGACAUAAUUAAAAAAUUUCUAUAUAUGUAUUGAAAAUUUAAAUUGGAAAUAAAAAUUUCUGUAUGUAUUUAUACACACACACACACACACACAUAUGAAAUAGUGAAAUAUCUGAGUCUUUUUUCAUAGUUGCUUGUCACCAGUCUUACUUCUCUACUCCUUGCUCCAUACUUGUGACUUGAAUGGAAUGGCAUAUUUCUAUAUUUUCAUUUUUUCACUUGCUUCUGCCUUUAUUGAAGUGAUUAUAGCUGUUAGAUAGGCUGUGUUUAUAAGUAUUUAUGAAUAAACACCACCCCACCCCCAGCAGUAACUUAAAACUACACGGGCCUAAUUUCCCUCGUGUUUUAUCUCCCUUGUGGGGAGACCGAAAGGCUCUGCUCUGUGCUGUUCUUACUUGGGGACAACAGUGGAGGGAAAAUCAGCUCCUCAAUCUGCAAAGGCUGAGAAAAGGAAGGGAAUGUGGUGGAUUGUGCGCUCAUUCCUGAAACUUCACUUCCGGUCGCAUUUCAUCAACAAAGGCACAGCAUUUGGCCAAAUCUAAGUUCAACAUCUCACUGUAUAUUUAUGGAUAGACCUAGUGACUCCCUUUAAACAUACAUAAACAUCCUUUCAAAAGUCCACAUCCUUUAAAAUAGAACCAUAGGCUUUAUCGUGAGAAAUUGCAGUCCCCUGCUCCACUCUCUAGCAGCCACCACUUUAAAUUAUUUCAGUGAUUUCUUCCAGGAUUUACCUCCAAGUUUCUAAAUAACAUGUGUAUCAUUCUAUUUCCCGACUUUUCCAUUUUAGCCACCAAAUUUUUAAGGGUGGGGAAGGUUCAACUUAGCUCUCUUCCUCACACAUCAUGUUUACAACAUCAUGAUCCUGUAAACAUCACAUACAGCUUGAGCUAUGGUUUCACUUAUACUAUGGCUUCAUUGUCUUUCUCGUGCAUUGUCUUCUUAACAUGAAUUAAGUCCCCCCCCCCCGUUUUUUUUACAUUUGCUUAGUUUUCUGUGCAGCUAUUAUUAAUUUUCCCUGAGCUCUCUGACCAAGCUAUAAAACUUCUCUUAACACAUUCAGACACACUGAGCCCUUCAUUAGCUUCAUUCUGUUCUCAGAAACGUCCCUUGUUGGCCUUCCGUCCUCCUGAUCCAGCUUUGUGACAGGUUACUUUCUAAGUCUAUUUACACCCACAAUUCCUAUUCCUUUAAAGCUGCAGGUUUCUAAUCAAGAAGAGGGGAAAAAAAGACUAGAUGACUUCUGAAAUCCCUGCUCUCUGUUCUGGAACUGUGACACAGAGAUGAAUAUUAUGUGAAGCCCAAAUAAAUUCCAAGGAUUGGCUCUGCUUUGUGCCCCCUGGCUAAAGCUUCUCAUUUACCCCAGCUCGGCUACUGGGCCUGGGUCCUCACUGGUCCAUCUUAGGCUUUGGUCGCCUACUUUGACUUCUCCACUCCACAACUUUCAAGAUCUUGGUUGUCCUCUGACUUCUGUUAUCCUGGAACCAAUAACAAAAGAAGAAGAGUGAGGAGCAGCCUUAUUUUUAGGAAUUCCUGAAUUCCCAAGAUCCAGCCCUAGAAGCACUUCCAUAUUCUUGCUCCUCCUUUGUCCCAUUAGAAGCAAAAAUUAUUAGACUUUACUCAAAAAGUGGAAAAUCCAAGUCAUAGAGAAAAACAGUGUGAAAGUUAAUAUCUUGUUAUGCUCUUAUCUGGGAACUGAUUGAAUUUCUAAAAGCCCUUGAGGUGCUCCUGCUGGCAGCUGGGAUUGAAGGUUCAAAGCAGAGAAACUGAGCACGUGGGGGAAAUGCUUUUACUUUAUGAUUUACUUCUCACUCCUGACGAUGGGAUGCAAUGUGCAAGGGGGGAGUGGAAUGGGAAUAUAAAUAUUGCUAUAAUAAUGAGAAUGCUUUCAUACCUGGUGAGGCAGGGAGAAUGAUGAAAAUGGUUCUGAGACACUGAUGAAACCCAGAGUGGUGUGGUUCUGAGUGGAGAAUUUGUUAAGAAACCUGAGAAAUUUCUGCCUACUUUAGUCUACCAUCAAGGAAAUUAUCCCCCCUUAUUUUUUUUUAAACUCAUUUUCUGUUCUGUGUAGCACAACUGGAGAUUAGAAUAGAAGAGAUGUUCCUGGGGCCUUCUCUGAAAACAAUAGCCCCACCCCAACGACAGGGAAAGGAUUGAUGCUAGGAAUUACCAACUCGUAAAUGGAAAUUAAUACUGUAAUUAGCAAGGUAGGAAAAUCUAUCUUAUUGUAAAUUGUGAUACUUAUAGAUUGUGAUAUCCCCCCUGGGAUCACCAGGUUAUUUAAAAGGAAUAAAUCAGGAACCACAUUCAAGCCUAUAAGGAUGUCAGAAAUAUUCAGGGCAGACAUACACCUAAAACAGAUAAUACUUUCACCAGGGUUGUAAAACAGUGGAUAAAGUCAGUUUUUUAAAAGAUACACAUUUGUGAUUUUUGACACUUCUUAGAUGGAAAAUGUUUUCAGAUUGGCUUUUGAAUAUCAACAUUGUUACCUAGACAGCUUUCUAGCAAGCAGACUGAAGACAUUGGAUAAAAAGAUUAGUCUCACAAAAUACGAGGAGAUGAAUAUUGCAUUUCAAAUAAAAGCAGAAGUCUCCAAGGAUGAAAUAUAAACAUUUGAUAAACCUGCAGCUCUGAUAAAAAUCUAUAUAAUGGCCUUAACAUUUCUAUAGCUGUCCAAAAUAUGGAGCCUGCCUUCACAUCCAUUAACUCAUUUGGUUCUCAAGUGUGUGUGCGUGUGUACAUAGUAUGGGAAGAGGUAAAUGAGAGGAAUGUUAAAAAAAAAAAAUCUUCAUUUUACAGAUGAGGAAGUGGAGCCCAGAAAGAUUCAAGCUCACACUGUCUCCCAGGUAUUAACAGACUGUGUGUAAUUAAUGUUACAUGCUCCUGAAUCAGAAUUUAAAUGGAGCCCAAAUGGAGAUGCAACACAGAGAUGGCAUUCUAGCCACAGUAGUGUUGUGAUUUCAAGUUUAUUAGUUCAAGAAUGAAUCAAUGCAAGCAAUGUAGGAAAAGUACUCACCUCCCCACCUUGAAAAUUGAUUAAGGAAUAGCAGAAUUUAGUAUUGUCCCCAUUAUUAUGCCCACAUUUGACAGAUUGGUUAGAGCUCUGAUAGUUAUAGUGCAUCAUAGCCUGCCUUGAAUUGGGGCUCUACAUGAGUACGUGUCUUCCUUUCUGAACCGCGAGAGCUCACAGACCAGCAACCAGAUCUUUAAUAUGUUGUUUCCAUCCAGUGUAUAUCCCAGUGCCAGUGCUUCAUAAACAUGUAGAGUGGAGUAAACCAUGAGACACUUUGCAAUACCACCAAUUGGGUCAUGAUGUAGGCGUGCAGACUGGAAGAUUGUUGCAUCCACUUGGAGGGUUGGAGGUGUCAGAUGCCUCCCUUUUAAACCAUAUGACCUGGUUCCUGUCCUUUUUAUGCAGUUUGGCCCCAUUUCUUGGGAUGAAAUCAGUUGUAGAUGACCUCCUACUUUCAAACAGAUUGAAAAUGUGCCUGCAAGUCUAGUAACAAACUCAUGUGCUAAAAGGGAUGGUUUCCAUGUUCCAAAACUUUAAAUCCCUUAUCAGGAACACUGGGCCCUGUGACAGGGUUGUGGGAACCCUGCAAACCCCAUGAGUGAUGACCCACGUAAUAUUAAUAACCCUCAUCCCCACUCUGACCCAAACCCUGGACUCCAUCCUCAGCCAGGCUCUCAUGGAAGGACAGGCCCAGUCAGGGAUUGAUGCACAGGCUUCAGGAGCAUCUGUGGAGAAAACCUCUGCAAACUUUAAAGAGAAAUGCAUCUUGAAUGAUUCCUAGUUUGUCUAUAAAGGGGAGAAAAGAUUAAAAUAAAUGUAUAUGUAAGUAUAAACAAAAGAUAGGAAUAAAUAGAACGAAAAAAGUUUUAAUGACUUUUUCUAGCUGGUUGGAUUAUGAUUUGGGGUUUUUCUUUUCUGUUUUUUUAAUUGGUUUAAGGUAUUCAUUGUUUAACAUCUAUAAAUACUUUUACAUUUAUUUUUAAUCUUCUUGUAAGACAUUAAAUACACUACUAUUAAGACUAAAAUCCUUUUUGGCUACCAUCCCCAAAUUCCCAGGGGUAAUCACAUUACUUUGGCAUGCAUCUUUCUGGAUUUUUUCUUAAUAUAUAUUUACACAUACAUAUGUAUGCACAUAUAAAACAGUAUUGUUUUGUUUCUACAUAGGUGGCAUCAUACAAUACAUAUUCUGCAAUUUUUGUUCCAUAUCAGUUGCAUAUAAAUGUACCUCAUUAAAAGAAAUACUGUUCCAUCAAAUGGAGAGACUACAGGUUUAGUCCCACUGAUCCUGCGCUAGAAUCAUGUAAGGAGUCUUAAAAUCAAACCAAUGCCCAGGCCCCAUCCCUGGGAACUGAUGCAACUUUUUUUGCUUUCCCUAUUGCCCAAGUGUUUUAAUUUGUUACUGUUUUAUAACAAUAUCACUCUGCGUAAUCUUGCACAUAUAUGUGGGUGGUAUUCUAGGAAGAUUUUUUUUUUAAGCACUUUACAUUGCUUAUUGCAAUACCAAUUUACACUCUUACCACAGUAUGUGAAAAUAUCCCAUACACUGCUCUACCUUGGAUAUUAUCUAAUAUAAAAAAUUUUAAACUUUUUGCUGCUUGGAUGGAUUAAAACAAAUAGUAUGUCAUUUAUUUUCAUUCUACUGAUAAUUUUUAAGAUUUAUAUCUUUUCUUAUGUACAGUGAGAGAUUAAGGGCACAAGUUACACAGGUUUGUAUCCCAGCUGAGUUAUUUGCCUUCAGUCUAGUUGUUAAUCUCUCUGUGCCUUAGUUUGCUCACUUGUAAAAUGAAGAGAGUAAUAGUGCCUAGUUCAGAGGCUUAUUGUAAGGAUGAAAUGAUUUAAUAUAGGUAAGGUUUUAGAACAGUAUCAUCACAGAGCAAGCAUACCACAGAUGUUAGUUACUUGUUUUGGUCUUCUGUGUUUUUUUUACUAUUGUUACUUAAUCAGAAAUAUUUGGAUAAACACACACAUACAAAUUGAAGACAUAUCAUGAUUUAAAUAAGUAGCUAAUAUUUGGGAUCCCAAAGUGAUUUAAAAAAAAAAAAUCUUGGAGUUCCCGUUGUGGCGCAGUGGUUAACGAAUCCGACUAGGAACCAUGAGGUUGUGGGUUCGGUCCCUGCCCUUGCUCAGUGGGUUAAUGAUCCGGCGUUGCCGUGAGCUGUGGUGUAGGUUGCAGACGCGGCUUGGAUCCCGCGUUGUUGUGGCUCUGGCGUAGGCCGGUGGCUGCAGCUCCGAUUGGACCCCUAGCCUGGGAACCUCCUAUGCCGCGGGAGUGGCCCAAGAAAUAGCUAAAAAGACAAAAAAAAAAAAAAAAAAAAAAA